CGUAGGGUGCGAGCGUUAAUCGGAAUUACUGGGCGUAAAGCGUGCGCAGGCGGUUUUGUAAGACAGAUGUGAAAUCCCCGGGCUCAACCUGGGACCUGCAUUUGUGACUGCAAGGCUAGAGUACGGUAGAGGGGGAUGGAAUUCCGCGUGUAGCAGUGAAAUGCGUAGAUAUGCGGAGGAACACCGAUGGCGAAGGCAAUCCCCUGGACCUGUACUGACGCUCAUGCACGAAAGCGUGGGGAGCAAACAGGAUUAGAUACCCUGGUAGUCCGCGCCCUAAACGAUGUCAACUGGUUGUUGGGUCUUUACUGACUCAGUAACGAAGCUAACGCGUGAAGUUGACCGCCUGGGGAGUACGGCCGCAAGGUUG
rnacentral:rRNA from 1 species